rnacentral:lncRNA from 1 species
CAGCCAGUGAGCCGCCUGAUGCCACCAAGGCAUCUGCAGACUGAGCUCCAUCAUUUUCCAUCAUCCAGAGGAGCAGUUCAGGUCACCUUAUCCUUCCAGUUCCUCCUCCAGUAGGCAAAGACCCUUGGCCAAGAAGUUCCAGGAAUCUCCCCCUGCUUCAGCUUCCUAUAAACAGAUAUUUCAUGUACAGGUACUUAAAUGCACCAAGAAUGUGGCUCUGGAAGGAGAUCCAGUUCCACACAGCAAGAUUUCUUAAAGUGAAUCCUGUCGUGCUCCCCUGCUAGCUCAGAGCAGGAAGUGUAACAAUUAAGAGACCGUCAAAGCUACAAAGCUCUUAGAACAAAUCCAACCUUCCCACCCCUCCCAUUUAUAGAUGGCAAGGGCAAGGCCAAGAACGGGACAGGGAUCUGUUUGAGCACAUCAAUGGCAGCCCUAGGACCAGAAUCCAAUAUUCCUUUCUCUCACCCUUGUGUAGAAAGCGGCUGAUAGGAAUAAAACACGUUCUUUUUGCUCCACUCUUCAUUAUUUCAGGCUCACCAAGAAACAACCACCUCCCGCCUCCACACACCCUGCAAAACUAAUUUGACUGAAAGAUGGCUUACAUCAAUCACACUGAUGAUCAAGAGCGAAGAAAGGACGAGGAUGGGCAGAAACAUCACACACACAUGCAGCACAGAGACAGGGCUGGAAGGCUGAGCAAGAGUCAGAGCUACAGUUGGAAGUAUUGGAAAGCGGCAGCGGAUUCUCGGGGUGAUGGGAAAAGCAAAAUCUGCUUCACUAAAACUCCGUCGGUGAUCAACUUUUUCAGCAGUCCUCCGAUUCCCGACUAGAAGGCAAAAGCCUGGCCCAGGCCACGGGAGGCACUUCACUAAAGAAGAAAAACCUGAGCUCCAGCAAGCUCAGUAACUUCAUCAGUCACCUAAUUGAACGAGAACCCAGAGCAACUCAGUCCAGGCUGCACAAAUUGAGUAGCACUGCUCUGCAGCUCGCUGCACUAAAAGUGGAAGAUAUUUUCCAUUACAGCAAGUGCUCCCACAGAAGGAUCACGAGCCACACACGGAGCCUUACUCUCCAAAUAGGCGCCCAUGGCCCAGUCGUCCCUUAGCCUAAGAACUCAGAGAGCCAGGCUGUAAUAAUGGGGCUGCCGUGUGAGCACAGCAGCCAUCGAGCUGCUCCGGUUCAUUUCCCAGAGGUUGAGCUGCAGUGUGUCCAGUAUUUAAAAGUAUGGAACUUGUUUCAGGGCUGACCCAUUCUUGCCCAAUUCAUCUUCCCCGUGUGAAGUUAUUUAGCAAACAGCCAAGUUCAGCUGGAAAUCGUUUUUCAUCCCCUCCAACUUCUAGUCACAUGGGCAGCUGGCCAGCUACAUGUUAACAAGCGCCUCAGAACUCCUAAGACACCACCGGCCUCUGUUCCCUUCAGUGCAUUCUUGUAAAUAAAUAAAUAAUAAAACCUGCCUUUACCACCCCCU